UGCAUGCUCUCUUCUGUGUUUUUAGUUCAGCACAUUCCCUCAAGUCUGCCAAUAUAGGGGACUUUGCUGCUACUGCUAGGAGCUCAAUUCAUCUUGGGGAGCAAAGUCCUUGUAGAAGUAAAGCAUCCAAGCAAAGCAGAAUAUGAAAAGAGGGGUGUGCUUCCUUUGAACCCCAAGCACAUUGCUUGCACUUUGGGGAUUAAAGAUCUGUUGGGGGGCUUUGACUGCCUCUAAGUAUUCAGCUAAAGCAAGGAUCCAAGUUACUUAGCAAAGCAGAAGUGUGAAAGUGGGGAUUGCCUGCUUCUCAGAAACCUUGUCACUUCUGAAUGAAAAUGAGGUGGUAUCAAACCCUAACAAGGAUCCAUAAUCAGCUCUAAUAAAGGUCUACCAUGCCAUUUCCAAGUUUCAUCCCAUUAUGACUUGCAAUAAUAGACAUUUAGACAUUGUGAUGAUUCCCCAUUAUUUCCUAUGGGCCAUAUCAUCUUACAGGAUGAUACACUGACAUAAUAAUGAUGCAUCAAACAAUUUGAUCUAGGCUGGUACAAUUAUCAGAUGAAUUAUUCGUUAAUUGCUUUCAUUGGAUUGGAAUCAAUAAUUUGAUCCAUGCACAGACCUCCUGUUCAUGAGUAAGCAGAGUCUAUAUGUGAGUAUUAAGUUGCAGCUUUUUGCAGGUCUGAACUCUACAUUUGUAAAGAGCAACCACAGAACAUCCCACCUCUUGGAAAGGUUGGUAUGGUGCAUACAAAUCUUGACCAAAGCAGAUGUGUCACAUCGAAACACAUGCUAAAACACAAACAUCUGGUUUUCUUUUAAAUUUAUUUAUGCAUUAAAAAGGUCUUUGAGAAAGUAAACCUUGACAGUCAACCGUUAAAGGUACAAGUCCUAAAAGCAAAAGGUUGAACAAGCACAUUUCCUGCUUAUGUGCCAUUGGCUGACAUGACAAUGAAGCAUUUUUAUUGCACUUUGCUGGUGCAUUCUUAGCUUGUAAGGAGUAAGCCAUGAAAAGUUGUGCUCCUUUGUAAGGCUGGUUUAAAAGGCAAAGUGAAUUAAAAGACGGGGCUCUCUGCUAACUUCUGUUUUGAGAGACCCUUCAUUUACAGGGCCAGCUCAAGGUCUGGGAGGUCCUUGGCAAAGUGCUCUGAGUGGGUCUUCUCCCAUGAUGGUGGGUCCCCUGAAGGUUCAGUACUAUGGUGGUGGCCUGGAGCUGCAAUGUUGUAUGCUUCCCCCAUCCCAAUAUAAUGUUCUUUCCCACCCAAAUGUUGUAUGGCUGUGUCAGGGUAGGGGCAUUGCAUUGUGGAUUUAAGAAACAUGCCAGCUACCAGUGUGGCUGCCAAUGAGAGCUCUGGACCACUGUUCUUGCUGUCAUCUGUCUGUCAAGAUAAACUCCCCCUCAGGUUUGGGGAACCUAUUUUGAUAGUGGGGUGGUUGUAACCAGAGCAUUUCUUAGUUGACACACGGGAAGCCACGGUCUCUCCAGAACUGAAGAUUUUCCUGGAUUCUGGCUCUCCAGUAUUGGCCUGGAAUCUCCAGAAACCAGCAUUGGGUUCCAUGUGACUAUUGGAAGCAAUCUUGGAGAUUUUAAUAGCUUGAAAUUAAGGAAAAAUUGGGAGGGAUCUCUAGGAAUAGCUUUGAUAAGAGUUGGUAACCCUACCAUUGUUUGUACCCAAAUACAAUGCUUGCCUCAACACAGCAUCAAAAUAAAACAGCAUAACGGCUGGUGCAUGACCUUGUGGAUUAAAAACAAAACAAAACAUCAGCUGCAAACAAGAGAAACUCUAGGCCACAGAGCCACAACCGUCCCCAGGAGGUAGCAAGACUGGAGCUCUGAUAGCCACACAGCUACCCAAGGAUGCUGCAUAGUGAUGUCAGAUGCCCUUCCUCUUUGGGCCAUUUCAUACUUUGGGCAAAGGCAAAUCACAGGCAGCUGCAGCAAAUCACAGCGUUUGGAAGAACGUACCUGUAUGAUCCAUGUUUGCACACCUGUAUUUUACUGCAGCCAUACUCUACAUUUUUAGAUGUAUCCUUAAAAAUCACAGGUGUUCACUGAAAGGUGUAAUGUGUGAAGUAGCCUUUUGUCCAACUUCAUUUGAAGUCAGUGUAUAAAAACAUAGCUCAGAUUUUGUCAUUCUUAUUGCAACCCUGUUCUUAUCCAAUGUUCAACAGUAGGUGGCAAUAAUAAUUCACUGUAUGUACAUAGACCUUUUUAGUCAAGCAUCUUUGCCUGCUUGUGAUUAUGGAAAUAAUUAUUUUAUCUGCAUAUUGUAUAGAAAAACCUGGAGAGAGAGAGAAGGAAGGUUGCCAAUAAAGACCUGAUUCUUCAUUCCUUUGAAGUUUAACAUACCAUGUAGUGAGUGCUUUUAACUCCGUGCUAAACACGUUUACCCAGAAGGAGGUCCAAUUGAUUUCCAAAGGACUUGUUUCCAAGAAGCCAAGGGUUCCUCAGAAGCUUAUCAGGGGUACAUCAAAUUGCCAGGAGUUCCUGGAAAACAGCUUGUCCAGCAUUACUGAUAUUCCCUUGCAGUGUACAGGUGCAAGGAAUUAUUGGGUGCCGUCCAGGAUGUGCUGCCAACUUGCAUGGGCAGCAACAAGACCCCACAGGGUUUUGCCAGCAUUGUGCAUGAGCUGAGAAUGUUCCAUUGAAGAGACCCUGGCAUCUGUGGCAGUGUACAGUGUUUCCAAACUGCAGGAGUUCCUUAGCAGAUAAAUCAAUGUGAAAAGAGGUCCCUGAAGGUAGGAAAUAGAAAAAGACUCAUCUAUUAGAAUAGCCAGGCAAAAUAUUUAUGAUUGCUAAAUAAUGAGGGUAAACCCUGUGAAGAGUGGGUUGGGCUUGGCUCCAAGAGGCCUGGAUUCAAGAUCUAGCUCUACUGUAGAAUCGUUGUGUGGCCUUGAGCAUGCCACUCUCCUUCUCAGGGUCAGCUCCCUGUUUUUUAAAAAAUUGGAAUGAUAGAGACCUACUUUAUAAGGUGUUUGUGGAAAUAAUGACUAGUCACAGUCUGAUCUUAUGAUGCAACCCUAUGAUCCUGGCAAAGUAGCCCCCAUGCAGCACAGUUUCUUCCAGCGGGGUUACAUAUGUAUGCCCUGUUCAAACUAUAUUCAGCUGGCAGCACCAUGCCAAUUCAAAGUGGAAACAGCAUAUAAUACAGGAACAACGUGAGAACUUCUACAGCGACCAGAGCAACAGUGCAGGACUUUCAUUGAUCAACAACUCCCCCAGCAACAUCAUCACAGCAAAAGCACCGAUCAACAGCCAGCAUCAUAAUGCCAUUACUUGUUGCUACCAUAUGGCCAGCAGGAGCUCCAGGGGAUCUCUGAGAAGCCUUUCCUAUUUUGCUAACACUACUCACUUGAGAUCUGCCAAAGGGAAGCUAUGUGCCAGCCUCUGUGUGUCAAAGUAUUUUAACAAACUGUACAAACUUGCAGAAAAAUAAUUACAGAUCUAUGUGCCAGAUAAUCCCAAAUUUAAAAAAUCAGUGUUAAAAAAGCUUUAGAUUAAUAGCCUUGCUAAAAACCAAAAUAGAUUUACAAUUGCUUGUUGGAAUGGGAAGUUUCAUGGUAUU